rnacentral:rRNA from 1 species
CCCUUAGAUGUUCUGGGCCGCACGCGCGCUACACUGACGAUGGCAACGAGUUUUUCCUUCGCCGAAAGGUGUGGGUAAUCUUUUGAAACAUCGUCGUGCUGGGGAUAGAUCAUUGCAAUUUUUGAUCUUGAACGAGGAAUUCCUAGUAAGCGCGAGUCAUCAGCUCGCGUUGAUUACGUCCCUGUCCUUUGUACACACCGCCCGUCGCUACUACCGAUUGAAUGGUUUAGUGAGGACUCCUGAUUGGCGCCGCCGCCCCGGCAACGGAGCAGCGGACUGCCGAAAAGUUGUUCAAACUUGAUCAUUUAGAGGAAGUAAAAGUCGUAACA